AAUAUACUUCGUAUCAUUUUGGUGGUGCUAUACGGAGUACAUAAGUGUGUGGACUACGAUCCACGCAAUAAUAAUUGCUUGGCGGCCGCUUAGUAGACAACAGGUCAAUAAUUCAGGCGGACAGCAGAUACCACUCCAAGUCUCCGACUAGCCGACAACAGUCCAGGCGUCCAACAUCAACAUUCAACAACAUUCAACAACAACCAGAUAAUUUAUUUUCUUACCCUUUAAUUUAAUUAAUUUUAUUUAAUUGUUGAUUUUUUAUUUGGUUAGUGUAUAUAUGCUUUACAUAAUUUACAUAUUACAGUGUAUAGAGAUGUUGAAGUAGUAUUUAGUACAUAUAUUAUUGUGUGUA